rnacentral:rRNA from 1 species
UACGUAGGUGGCAAGCGUUGUCCGGAUUUACUGGGCGUAAAGAGCGCGCAGGCGGUCGGCCAAGUCGAGUGUGAAAGCCCCCGGCUCAACUGGGGAGGGUCAUUCGAUACUGGUCGACUCGAAGGCAGGAGAGGGAAGCGGAAUUCCCGGUGUAGUGGUGAAAUGCGUAGAUAUCGGGAGGAACACCAGUGGCGAAGGCGGCUUCCUGGCCUGUUCUUGACGCUGAGGCGCGAAAGCUAGGGGAGCAAACGGG